GGUCAUGAGUGCCAGCGCCAAACCCCGGUUCGCUGGCCGGCAACCCUCCGCCGCGGUGGGGUGCCCCGGGUGAAGACCUGGGCCGGCGAGAGCCGCCGGUCAAGCGCAGCGC
rnacentral:ncRNA from 1 species